AACGAACGCUGGCGGCAUGCCUAACACAUGCAAGUCGAACGAGACCUUCGGGUCUAGUGGCGCACGGGUGCGUAACACGUGGGAAUCUGCCCUUUGCUUCGGAAUAACAGUUAGAAAUGACUGCUAAUACCGGAUGAUGUCGAAAGACCAAAGAUUUAUCGGCAAAGGAUGAGCCCGCGUAGGAUUAGGUAGUUGGUGGGGUAAAGGCCUACCAAGCCGACGAUCCUUAGCUGGUCGGAGAGGAUGAUCAGCCACACUGGGACUGAGACACGGCCCAGAAUCCUACGGGAGGGAGCAGUGGGGAAUAUUGGACCAGGGGCGAAAGCCUGAUCCAGCAAUGCCGCGUGAGUGAUGAAGGCCUUAGGGUUGUAAAGCUCUUUUACCAGGGAUGAUAAUGACGGUACCUGGAGAAUAAGCUCCGGCUAACUCCGUG
rnacentral:rRNA from 1 species